CGGGAGAUAGAUGCACGAGUUUUUACAAAAUAAAAAUUACUCGUCACUUAAUCCUUCCAAAAACAAUUAUUAAAUGCCUUUUGAUGACUGUAAUUUGUGAAGUAUUAAUUUACAGACAGAUACGGGGCGUACAUUU
rfam:Camponotus floridanus CamFlo_1.0_1.contig5235, whole genome shotgun sequence.